rnacentral:tRNA from 1 species
UGCGGAGUAGAGCAGAGGCAGCUCGUCAGGCUCAUAACCUGAAGGUCGUCGGUUCGAAUCCGGCCUCCGCAA